AUGAAUAUGAACCUUGCCAUCCCAUCUGGGGACCCUGAAGAUUUUCAGUGGCACAAAGGGAAGGCACUGAGAGUCGCCAGCGAUGCCAACGGAAGAAGGCCGGGAGUUGCUGAAACCAGAGUCACCAGUGUGGAUCUCCACUUCAUCCCACCCCGCAAGCCCCUCCCAUACCUGUGUUUAGAAACUUCACAGGAAGCAGAGCUGACAAGCACACCUGGGCUACUCUUGCCUCUCUCACCAUCUUGAGUACAUCAUCGUCACCCUCCAGAGCCCUCCUAAACAAGGUUUGGCAACAGCAAAAACAAACACUAUUUUACAGCAUCUUUGGACGCACUUCCAAAAUGCAAAAGCAAUUAAUCAGUCGUCUCCCUGAGACUCUGCUCAAGGUGGCUGCUGCCUUUGACAUGGAGCUCGGCUUUGAUGGGAGCCGAAGAAGCAUGUGAAGACAGCCCAAAAAGUGGUAAUGGUCUUCAAUUAUUUAUUUGUUUAGAAGACUGGGGAAUAGAACUUGAGCUGUACGCACAUGGAUAAUCCAUCUAAGACGUUCCCAACAGUGAGGUCUUUAACUCCCUGCCUGAGCAUUCUGCUUGGAACAGAAUGGGUAUUUUCACCAAGUCUGGCACGGAUCCAAAGGUUUCCUCUGUGUGUGUGUGUGUGAGAGAGAGAGAGUGUGUAUGUGUAUGUGUGUGUACAUAUUUAAGAAAGCUAUAUUUGGGAUAUCUGAAUAUCUUUGAGCCUUGUAGAAAAACUGCUGUUUCUAAUUACUAGACAUCCAAGCUGUACUGCUAGUUCCUAAUGGAUAAGAUUUCUUUGUGCUGGAUUUUUGUGUAAUUUUAUUGAAAAAUCAAGACUGUACAUUUUCUGAGAGAAUUUCUCAUUUAGCAAUGUAUUCUCAAGACAUGGUGUAAUCAUCUUAAUAAUGCAUUGUGGGAAAGUAAGUCACUUAUAGCCCAAAGUUACUCUCAGUCUUGAACUUUGUCCUUGGUAGUUUAUUAUACACAUGGAACUAACUUGAUGGAUCUCUCAUCCCAGGAAAUUUACAACAGCAGACACCAUGCCCUUUAUAUUCUGUGGGCUGACAAUAGGAGAAGUGGUUAGGCACAUUUGCUCUUCCGAAAAUACUGAUGUGUGAAGAAAAAUGUUACCAUCCAAUUGCACACAAAAUUUUCUAAGAAACAAACUUUGUUCAGAUAAAAUAAUGAGAUAUUUUUGACCCAAGUUUACAUAAAUCUCAGUCAUUGUAGUUCCUUUCUCCUAAGCCCUUUUUCAUAUGCUUAUAAAUCUUGAGAUGAUGGUCCAAAUGCAUCUCUUCCACAAAGUCUCACCUCAUUUAUUUUGUUGGAUGUGGUCGCUUCCUGGCCUGAAUCCAUAUCACACCUGAUUUGUGGCCAUCUUCUCUUGAAACACUUUUGGUUGUUUUCAUUGCUUACCACUAGUUCUGAACUAUAAGUACCUUGAGAGAAGGGUCUAGGAUUGCUGGUUUUAUUGGUAUAAAACUGUACUUAGUCCAUAAUUAUUGUUUAGCAAAUAUACAUUGGAUAGAUGGAUAGAUGAAUAGAUGGAUGGAUAAAUGAAAACUUUCAUCUUCUCUCAUCCUAUAUAUAUACCAGUAUCCCAGAGUGGUCAUCUUAUGUGAUAUAAAUAUUGGUGUCUCUCUGUGUUGGGUUGAAUAGUGCCUCUCCAAAAGUUAGUUCUAUCUGGAACCCCACAAUGUGGCCUUAUUUGGAAACAGGGUCUUUGCAGUGAUAAUCAAUUAAGUUAAAAUGAGGUUAUACUAGAUUAAAGAGAAGAGACACACAAAGGGAGACUGCCACGUGAAGAUGGGGGCAGAGAAUGAAGCCAAGGAACACCAACGUUUACCAGCAACCACAGAAAAGUGAGGAAGAGGCAAACAAAACAAAACAAAAAACUAUCCUGUAUCACAGUCUUCAGGGAGAAUAUGGCCCUGCCAACACCUUGAAUUCUGACUUCGGACCUCCAGAACUGGGGAGAAUAAAUUUCUGAUGUUUUAAGUUACCAACUUUAUGGCACUGUGUCAUUGCAGCCCUAGGAAACUGAUGCACUCUCCAAGAACCCACCUUGUAAAGAAGGGACUAACCACAUCUCGCGAGGCUUUAACCAAGAACCCAAAAUAGGAGUGUUCCCUCUGACAGGGGAGCCUGAAUGUUGUAUGAAGCCUGGAGAGUCUUGGAGCUUUGCAGUGAGGCAAUUAAGAGCUGCUUUGUCAAAAGCAGGGAAAAAGGUAGCAAACAUAAUAGAAAAUGGGGAGAAGACAGGCCUGGGGCCCAGGUUCAGGUCCCAAGUCACAUGACAGGGGCCACAGUGAUGGGCUGAGGUUCAUGCUGGCUGGGUUCCACAAGCAGGGGAUGAGCAGGGAGCUUCAGGAGUGCCUUGGACAGCAGAGAUUUCUGAUUUGGUUGUAGUUAUUGGCUGAGCAUGAGACACGGGUGGAGUAGCCUUGGUUAGUGGACAAACGACAAAGCAGAGAGAAUCCUAAAAUUGCCUAAAACUCAAAUUCCACUUGGGCAUUUUCCUUUCCAAGUAUUUGGCCAUCUCUUGCUUUUUCCCCUGUUAUACUUACUUUCAAGUAAAACCUCAAUCAAGGCUACAAUUUAAGUUCUUCCAAAUAAUCCAUAAGUGGUGCACAAUUUGGGUAAAUGCCAUCACAGAUUCGCAUUUCUUCAAUUGGUGAGUUCUGGGCAACGUGAAUAAGACAUUAAAGCACAGUGACCACAAAACCUCAUCAAUUCAGACUCAUUAUCUGAAGGACCUUCCCACUGAAUGGUGAGAAAUUGGAUCUAGAAAAUAUCUUUAAAGAAAUCCAAUUUUAUCUCCUUCAAGGACACACACUAGCCAGAAGUAGGCCAGCAUACGGUUAAGUAGCAGCCUUCAGAGGAUGAGGCUUAAUGAAUAGAUAAGAAUGGCUUGUAAUUAGUCCGUCAUUUGUUUGGAUGGCAAAGGAUGCUUGGGAAGUGCUUGAGGAUGCUUGAAAACAGUGUGUGCUCUUAGGUAGUUUAAAUAUUUUCCCAGAAAUUUGGUUCUACAACUAAUUUGUUUAGUACAGCCAUUACUUCCACCAGGCCUCCAGUCUACUUAUUCCAACGUUCCCAUGAGAAAUGUACACAACAGUGAGGUCUCUCCUGGCUUAUAAAUCAGCGUGAGCAGACACAGGAGGGCAUGUCCAGGGAGGACUUCAUCCCCCUCAGACAUAGAGGUUGAAGGGAUGGACUGUUGGUCUUUGACAGACAGAGUGCCUCUCAGUGAACUGACCAUCAUGUGGGAAAUGUUGGCUUAUGUCAAUCACAAACAAUACUUAUGUACUUCUCAUGAUCCAAAAAUCAACCUUGUCUCCAAAGGUGAGCAUACUUUCUGCUUUUACACUGUGAAAAAUGAUGACGGAACUUGGGGUUAGAGGACCCGAUCUUGAGUUUGAAUCCCGUUAUCAGCUGUGUGUUUCUCGGCGUAACUCCUCUCUCCAUUUCUUCUGCGAAGAUUUAAUAAGAUGAUAUAUAUGUCCUUUUUAAACCAUACAUCAUAUGAAAAUAUAAGGAACUAUUGUCAUCCGAUCGUUAACAACAAAUCUGCUGGAUAUUGAGUUUCAGUGACUUGAAGUUUAAAGAAUCGUGUUUAAAGUUUGAAAGUUUGAAAAGCAGUGUUUAUUUCCUGGGUCAAGCACAUCUGGUCUGAAUCCCAGUUUUAUUUCUUGCUGAGGGUGGUUUUGCCAUGGUCUUAAAAGUCUCCACUCCUUAGUUACAUGAAUGUCAAGUGGAGUUGGAAAAAUAAAUGCUUAAAAGAGGUGGGAAGUGCUUUACACCAUGCCUGGCACAUAAUGCGUGCUUAAUAAAUGCCAGCCCAAGAUUUUAUGGCCCAAAUAAAUUCUUACAACCCAUAAAGGGACUGGCCUGCAGACAUUCACCCCGGCAGCAUGUGUACUGGGAAAACACUGCAGGCAGCAUGGGGCCAUCACAGGCAAAGUGGACUGUCAAGAGGGGCUGUAUAGACUGUGGGGGAUCAUGAAGCAGUUAAAACCAACAGGUUGGACGUACACUUGGGAGGACAUCUUUUUUUUUUUUUUCUUUUUUGAGACAGAGUCUCGCUCUGUUGCCCAGGCUGGAGUGCAGUGGUGGAGUCUCGGCUCACUGCAAGCUCCACCUCCUGGGUUCACGCCAUUCUCCUGCUUCAACCUCCUGAGUAGCUGGGACUACAGGCACCCACCACCACGCCCGGCUAAUUUUUUGUAUUUUUAGUAAAGAUGGGUUUUCACCAUGUUAGCCAGGAUGGUCUCGAUCUCCUGACCUGGUGAUCCGCCCACCUCAUCCUCCCAAAGUGCUGGGAUUACAGGUGUGAGCCACUGUGCCCAGCCAGGGAGGACAUCUUAAAACAUGAGUGAAAAAAAAAAAAAGAAAAUGUUUUAAAAUGCAACAUUUAAGCAAAUUAAAAUACAUGCACAGAAAGCAAAAUUCAUUUUACAAGAAUUCAUUAAAUACACACUGAAGAUGGAUGGGGACUGUGAGAAUGGAGUAUAGAGAUGAAAGAGAUGAAUGAAUGAAUGAAUGAAUGACAGGUAGCAAUAAUGCACCAUGAACACACUAUAGGGUAUGAUUACCUUAGCCUCCCACUCUCAAAGUGCAAUUGAAAAACAAAAUGCAAUACAGUAAUGGCAUAAUAUUCUUAUUAUAGUAGCUGUUGAGUCUACCUUAACAGGGAUAUUUUUAAAUGUCACCAGUUAUAUUAAUUUUCAGAAGCUCCUGUAACUAAUGACCACAAAGGGGUG
rnacentral:lncRNA from 1 species